AGCGGCGGACGGGUGAGUAACACGUGGGCAACCUGCCUCUAAGACUGGGAUAACACCGGGAAGACGAUGCUAAUACCGGAUAAUUCUUUACCGCUCAUGAGGUAAAGCUGAAAGUCGGUUUCGGCUGACACUUGCAGAUGGGCCCGCGGCGCAUUAGCUAGUUGGUGAGGUAACGGCUCACCAAGGCGACGAUGCGUAGCCGACCUGAGAGGGUGAUCGGCCACACUGGGCCUGAGACACGGCCCAGACUCCUACGGGAGGCAGCAGUACGGAAUCUUCCGCAAUGGACGAAAGUCUGACGGAGCAACGCCGCGUGAGUGAUGAAGGCCUUCGGGUCGUAAAACUCUGUUGUUAGGGAAGAACAAGUAUCGGAGUAACUGCCGGUACCUUGACGGUACCUAACCAGAAAGCCACGGCUAACUACGUGCCAGCAGACGCGGUAAUACGUAGGUGGCAAGCGUUGUCCGGAAUUAUUGGGCG
rnacentral:rRNA from 1 species